UACGGAGGAUGCGAGCGUUAUCCGGAUUUAUUGGGUUUAAAGGGUGCGCAGGCGGACACUCAAGUCAGCGGUAAAAUAGCGGGGCUUAACCCCGUCGAGCCGUUGAAACUGGGUGUCUUGAGUGAGCGAGAAGUAUGCGGAAUGCGUGGUGUAGCGGUGAAAUGCAUAGAUAUCGCGCAGAACUCCGAUUGCGAAGGCAGCAUACCGGUCCUUUACUGACGCUCAUGCACGAAAGCGUGGGUAUCGAA
rnacentral:rRNA from 1 species